AUACGGAGGAUCCAAGCGUUAUCCGGAAUCAUUGGGUUUAAAGGGUCCGUAGGCGGGCAAUUAAGUCAGAGGUGAAAGUUCGCGGCUCAACCGUAAAAUUGCCUUUGAAACUGGUUGUCUUGAAUUAUUAUGAAGUGGUUAGAAUAAGUAGUGUAGCGGUGAAAUGCAUAGAUAUUACUUAGAAUACCAAUUGCGAAGGCAGAUCACUAAUAAUAUAUUGACGCUGAUGGACGAAAGCGUGGGGAGCGAACAGGAUUAGAAACCCCAGUAGUCC
rnacentral:rRNA from 1 species